rnacentral:rRNA from 1 species
ACGGCCAUACCACAUUGAAAACACCGGUUCUCGUCCGAUCACCGAAGUUAAGCAAUGUCGGGCCCGGUCAGUACUUGGGAGGGUGACCACCUCCGGGUUC